rnacentral:rRNA from 1 species
AUCAAACGCUGGCGGCGUGCCUAAUACAUGCAAGUCGAACGGGGAAAGCUUUCGGGUGAGUACUAGUGGCGCACGGGUGAGUAACGCGUGGAUAAUCUGCCUUAGAGUGGGGGAUAACUAGUCGAAAGAUUAGCUAAUACCGCAUAAGACCACAAGAACUGCGGUUCAAGAGGUCAAAGGCUUUUCGCUCUAAGAUGAGUCCGCGUAAGAUUAGCUAGUUGGUGAGGUAACGGCUCACCAAGGCAACGAUCUUUAACUGGUCUGAGAGGAUGAUCAGUCACACUGGAACUGAGACACGGUCCAGACUCCUACGGGAGGCAGCAGUAGGGAAUAUUGCACAAUGGAGGAAACUCUGAUGCAGCGACGCCGCGUGAGUGAUGAAGGCCUUCGGGUCGUAAAGCUCUGUCGCAGGGGAAUAACACAAUGAAUGUACCCUGUAAGAAAGGAUCGGCUAACUUCGUGCCAGCAGCCGCAGUAAUAC